rnacentral:rRNA from 1 species
CAGUUGGAAACGGCUGCUAAUACCGCAUAAGCGCACAGCAUCGCAUGAUGCAGUGUGAAAAACUCCGGUGGUAUAAGAUGGACCCGCGUUGGAUUAGCUAGUUGGUGAGGUAACGGCCCACCAAGGCGACGAUCCAUAGCCGACCUGAGAGGGUGACCGGCCACAUUGGGACUGAGACACGGCCCAAACUCCUACGGGAGGCAGCAGUGGGGAAUAUUGCACAAUGGGCGAAAGCCUGAUGCAGCGACGCCGCGUGAGCGAAGAAGUAUUUCGGUAUGUAAAGCUCUAUCAGCAGGGAAGAUAAUGACGGUACCUGACUAAGAAGCACCGGCUAAAUACGUGCCAGCAGCCGCGGUAAUACGUAUGGUGCAAGCGUUAUCCGGAUUUACUGGGUGUAAAGGGAGCGCAGGCGGUGCGGCAAGUCUGAUGUGAAAGCCCGGGGCUCAACCCCGGUACUGCAUUGGAAACUGUCGUACUAGAGUGUCGGAGGGGUAAGCGGAAUUCCUAGUGUAGCGGUGAAAUGCGUAGAUAUUAGGAGGAACACCAGUGGCGAAGGCGGCUUACUGGACGAUAACUGACGCUGAGGCUCGAAAGCGUGGGGAGCAAACAGGAUUAGAUACCCUGGUAGUCCACGCCGUAAACGAUGA